rnacentral:rRNA from 1 species
CCUACGGGAGGCAGCAGUAAGGAAUAUUGGUCAAUGGGCGCAAGCCUGAACCAGCCAUGCCGCGUGCAGGAAGACGGCCCUAUGGGUUGUAAACUGCUUUUGAACAAGAGAAAACCUCGGUACGUGUACCGAGCUGAUAGUAUUGUUAGAAUAAGCAUCGGCUAACUUCGUGCCAGCAGCCGCGGUAAGACGAAGGAUGCAAGCGUUAUCCGGAUUCAUUGGGUUUAAAGGGUGCGUAGGCGGCCUGAUAAGUCAGUGGUGAAAUCUCUCAGCUUAACUGAGAAACUGCCAUUGAUACUGUCGGGCUUGAGUACAGAUGAUGUGGGCGGAAUAUGACAUGUAGUGGUGAAAUACUUAGAUAUGUCAUAGAACACCGAUUGCGAAGGCAGCUCACAAAACUGUAACUGACGCUGAGGCACGAAAGUGCGGGGAUCAAACAGGAUUAGAUACCCUGGUAGUCCGCACCGUAAACGAUGAUUACUCGUUGUUGGCAAUAUGACCGUCAGCGACCAAGCGAAAGCGANAGAAUCCACCUGGGAGUACGCGGCAACGGUGAAACUUAAUGAAUUGACGG